rnacentral:rRNA from 1 species
AAAUUGAAGAGUUUGAUCAUGGCUCAGAUUGAACGCUGGCGGCAGGCCUAACACAUGCAAGUCGAACGGUAACAGGAAGCAGCUUGCUGCUUGCUGACGAGUGGCGGACGGGUGAGUAAUGUCUGGGAAACUGCCUGAUGGAGGGGGAUAACUACUGGAAACGGUAGCUAAUACCGCAUAACGUCGCAAGACCAAAGAGGGGGACCUUCGGGCCUCUUGCCAUCGGAUGUGCCCAGAUGGGAUUAGCUGUGGUGGGGUAACGGCUCACCAGGCGACGAUCCCUAGCUGGUCUGAGAGGAUGACCAGCCACACUGGAACUGAGACACGGUCCAGACUCCUACGGGAGGCAGCAGUGGGGAAUAUUGCACAAUGGGCGCAAGCCUGAUGCAGCCAUGCCGCGUGUAUGAAGAAGGCCUUCGGGUUGUAAAGUACUUUCAG